UACGUAGGGUGCAAGCGUUAAUCGGAAUUACUGGGCGUAAAGCGUGCGCAGGCGGUUGUGUAAGACAGAUGUGAAAUCCCCGGGCUCAACCUGGGACCUGCAUUUGUGACUGCAUCGCUAGAGUACGGUAGAGGGGGAUGGAAUUCCGCGUGUAGCAGUGAAAUGCGUAGAUAUGCGGAGGAACACCGAUGGCGAAGGCAAUCCCCUGGACCUGUACUGACGCUCAUGCACGAAAGCGUGGGGAGCAAACAGG
rnacentral:rRNA from 1 species